AUUGAACGCUGGCGGCAGGCCUAACACAUGCAAGUCGAGCGAGCGGCGGACGGGUGAGUAAUGUCUGGGAAACUGCCUGCUGGAGGGGGAUAACUACUGGAAACGGUAGCUAAUACCGCAUACCAUCAGAUGUGCCCAGAUUGGAUUAGCUAGUAGCUGGGGUAACGGCUCACCUAGGCGACGAUCCCUAGCUGGUCUGAGAGGAGGACCAGCCACACUGGAACUGAGACACGGGCCAGACUCCUACGGGAGGCAGCAGUGGGGAAUAUUGCACAAUGGGCGAAAGCCUGAUGCAGCCAUGCCGAGUGUGUGAAGAAGGCCUUCGGGUUGUAAAGCACUUUCAGCGGGGAGGCGUUACCCGCAGAAGAAGCACCGGCUAACUCCGUGCCAGCAGCCGCGGUAAUAC
rnacentral:rRNA from 1 species